GUGCAGCAGUCGCGAAACUUCGGCAAUGGGCGAAAGCCUGACCGAGCGACGCCGCGUGCGGGAUGAAGGCCUUCGGGUUGUAAACCGCUGUCAGAGGGGAGGAAAUGUCAGGGGGUCACCUCCUGGCUUGACCUAUCCUCAGAGGAAGGACGGGCUAAGUUCGUGCCAGCAGCCGCGGUAAGACGAACCGUCCAAACGUUAUUCGGAAUUACUGGGCUUAAAGGGUGCGUAGGCGGCCGUGCAAGUCGGGUGUGAAAUCCCUCGGCUCAACCGAGGAACUGCGCCCGAUACUGCUCGGCUAGAGGGAGACAGAGGUGAGCGGAACUUGCGGUGGAGCGGUGAAAUGCGUUGAUAUCGCAAGGGGACACCCGUGGCGAAAGCGGCUCACUGGGUCUCUUCUGACGCUGAGGCACGAAAGCUAGGGGAGCGAACGGGAUUAGAUACCCCU
rnacentral:rRNA from 1 species